AGAGUUUGAUCCUGGCUCAGGAUGAACGCUAGCGGUGUGCUUAAAGCAUGCAAGUCGAACGUGAUCCCUUGGAUUCGUCUGAGGGUGAAAGUGGCGAACGGGUGAGUAACGCGUUGGUGAUCUGCCCCGGAGUGGGGAAUAACUAUUGGAAACGAUAGCUAAUACCCCAGAUGUCCUCGUGUUUGGAAAGCGAUGACUAAAGUUCAGGCGCUCCGGGAGGAGCCAGCGUCCCAUCAGCUAGUUGGUAAGGUAACGGCUUACCAAGGCACAGACGGGUAGGGGGCGUGAGAGCGUGGCCCCCCACACUGGUACUGACACACGGACCAGAUACCUACGGGUAGCAGCAGCUAGGAAUAUUGGACAAUGGGCGAAAGCCUGAUCCAGCAACACCGCGUGGAGGACGAAGGCCUUCGGGUCGUAAACUCCUUUUUGGGGGGAUGAGAAAGGACAGUACCCCCAGAAUAAGGCCCGGCUAACUACGUGCCAUCAGCCGCGGU
rnacentral:rRNA from 1 species